rnacentral:sRNA from 1 species
CCGGGAGAGGCUGGGACCCGGCACCAGGGCAGUACUGUGGCCGCUGCGGCCUCAUCUCCGACUGGGUCAGGUUGCGGAGACUCCAGGCCGCUUCCAGGGCGAGUACUCCUGAUUGUGACAUCACAUUCAUCCCCUGGGCGAUGGAGCUUGUCACUGGGAAGGAAUACUCAGUCGGAGAAUAGCCAACAAGAUGGGUUACUGGGAGAAUCUCUUCAGUGGCACUGAGUGGAGGCAUCAGGGGGUUGGAGCCUUGUGAACAGGGAACCUGCCCCCCAACACUUGGAAGGACCUGGGUUUCAGUGAUGAGACAUGGGGUAUGAUGUAACCCGUUUCCAGGGGGAUGUUGACGAAGAUCUUAUCUGCCCUAUUUGCAGUGGAGUCUUGGAGGAGCCAGUACAGCCUUGCCAGACCAGAGUCAGUUGUAUCAUCCUGGGGCAAGUAUGAGGAGAAGCUCACGAUUACCAGGCAAGCACCUCAUUGUGAACAUGCUUUCUGCAACGCCUGCAUCACCCAGUGGUUCUCUCAGCAACAGACAUGUCCAGUGGACCGUAGUGUUGUGACGGUCGCCCAUCUGCGCCCAGUACCUCGGAUCAUGCGGAACAUGUUGUCAAAGCUGCAGAUUGCCUGUGACAACGCUGUGUUUGGCUGUAGUGCCGUUGUCCGGCUUGACAACCUCAUGUCUCACCUCAGCGACUGUGAGCACAACCCGAAGCGGCCUGUGACCUGUGAACAGGGCUGUGGGUGAGAUUUGUUCCCUUCUGCCCCACAUGGAUAAAGGCCAUCUCAUUUAUGCCCCUGUCUCUGGCUGCCCUCCUCACUAGCUGAGGAGGUCUCUUUGGCAUGUUGGCAAGGAGUAUUCUUAGCCUGCUUGGCUUCCUGCUCUAAGAUCUUACUUUCUUGCUGCUUUUCCAACUAUAAUCAUUUUGCUCUUGCUUUAACAAAAGAAGGGGCACAGCAAUUUAGUAAAUUUGUGUAAUAACAUUAAAGGUUGAUUGACUCUA